GACAGCUUGGCCGAGUGGUUGAGGCGAUAGACUAGAAAUCUAUUGGGGUAACCCGCGUGAGUUCAAAUCUCACAGCUGUCG
rfam:Phytophthora sojae unplaced genomic scaffold PHYSOscaffold_20, whole genome shotgun sequence.